rnacentral:rRNA from 1 species
AUUGAACGCUGGCGGCAUGCCUUACACAUGCAAGUCGAACGGCAGCACGGACUUCGGUCUGGUGGCGAGUGGCGAACGGGUGAGUAAUAUAUCGGAACAUACCUUGUAGUGGGGGAUAACUAUCCGAAAGGAUAGCUAAUACCGCAUACGAUCUAAGGAUGAAAGCGGGGGAUCUUCGGACCUCGUGCUAUAAGAGUGGCCGAUAUCUGAUUAGCUAGUUGGUGAGGUAAAGGCUCACCAAGGCGACGAUCAGUAGCUGGUCUGAGAGGACGACCAGCCACACUGGAACUGAGACACGGUCCAGACUCCUACGGGAGGCAGCAGUGGGGAAUUUUGGACAAUGGGGGCAACCCUGAUCCAGCAAUGCCGCGUGAGUGAAGAAGGCCUUCGGUUGUAAG